CACGUAGGGCGCAAGCGUUGUCCGGAAUUAUUGGGCGUAAAGAGCUCGUAGGCGGUCAGUCGCGUCUGCUGUGAAAACUCGGGGCUUAACCCCGGGCCUGCAGUGGGUACGGGCUGACUAGAGUGCGGUAGGGGAGACUGGAAUUCCUGGUGUAGCGGUGAAAUGCGCAGAUAUCAGGAGGGACACCGACGGCGAAGGCAGCACUCUGGGCCGGUACUGACGCUGAGGAGCGAAAGCGUGGGGAGCAAACAGG
rnacentral:rRNA from 1 species